CCAAAAUGUGUUAUCCAUUUUUAUGGCUGGCCCUAACAUAAAUAUAAAUAUAUUCAUUAAAGUAAAAAAAGAACCUUCAAGUAUGGGCUGGAAAACGAAACAUUGCACAAUGCAAAGGAAAAGGACAUUGUCCUCGUUUAUCCAAGCAUCUUCACAGAAAUUUCUUGUUCGUCGGUUUUCAACUGCCGCAACCUUAGUCCAUGCUUCGCAUUUACUUGAUUUCAUGGAAUCACAUUGUAAACAUCACUACCUAUUACCUACUACCCUCUUCUCUUGUUUCCCUCAAAGCAUGAUACAUUAAAUGGAAUGAUCUUUUAAUGGCAUGGGAGAUCGCACACAUCAUGCUUUAUCGGUAUGUCACAUCAUCUGUAUUUAAUGAUCUCCACGCAUCUUCAUUUCAAUAUCUCGUUCGUUAGGUUUUUUGAUGUUGCUACAAAGCUCUCGAGUCGUCGUUUUCCUGUUUCCCAUUCUGUGGACUUAAACUUUCUGCUCACGCCUUGUCUAGUUUCGGUCAGUCAUAAUGGUGCGUUAGUUGGAAGGAAGUUCGCCCACAACUUGUUUGAUGAAACAAGCAAAAGUAAAUCACAUUAUAAAUACAAAGAUUGAAUGUUGCUGAUUUUCAUCCAAAUUCAAUACUUUUGUUUACUCUCGUGUCUCUACACUUGUUUUUCUGAAGUAGCUAGCAUUCAAACACAAGCUGGAACCUUUCUUCAAGAAGAAGGCAAUUCUUUUGUUCUAUAAUAGAUCAAAAGAAUAGCCUUCAUCUUGAAGAAGUGUUCCACCUUCUGUUUGAAUACCAGAUACUUCAGAGAAAACACUUGUUGAUAAUAUGAGCAUGGGAGUAUAUACAAGUAUUGAAUUUGGAUGUAAAAUCAGCAACUUUUGGAAGAACUGUAAGCUUGAUACUUCUUAGUGUCAACAAUUUGGAAGACGAUAUACAAACUGGAACGCUUCUUCAAGAUGAACAAAAGAUUGAGUUCCAAUUUCAAUGAGGAACAGGGCUUCAGAUUGUAGGUUUCAUCACACCUACAUGAUUAAUCUGAAUUCUUAAAAACAUUGGUCAUAUUCAUAAUAAUCAGUGAUUUAUAUGGAAACGGAUCACAGUUUCCAAACCUAAGUAGCAUGACAGAUGAGGAAAAUUGAUGAUUAUGUAUCAGGGAGUCACCAAUCAGAUAACGACAGCUAGGAUCAUACAUGAGAAAACGUAUAACUAACUACACAUGCUAACAUGCACCAAGUGGGUUGUUUAUAAAGGAGUAAUGUGUGUGAUCCGGUCUGCCAGUACUCUGGAUCCAAAACAACAGAAGCUACGGAGAUGGAAUUUACGGAUGAUAACAAAAAUAAGACAAGAAAAUGGUUAUACGGAUUUUAACCUUUACCAAUAUUUCAUUGAUCGAUUUUGAUGGAUUAAUCCGAUUGUUAAAACUUCAUUGUUGAAGCAUUCAAAGAUAGAGUUGGAUAGGCCUAUUAGUAAAAAGAUAUGUUUAGCUAAACAAAAUAGAGUGUUUCUACCUCUAAAGAUGUGGUUGGCAGAGUAGCUGAAAGUUAAUUUUUUUAGCUGAAAAUUUAGCUUUUGUCUUAUAAGUUAGCCGGUAGCUGAUAUAGAAAGUAAAUCUUUUAGCUGAAAAUUUCGUUUUUGUCUAGGUGAUAGAAUAUGUUUAGUAAAAGUAGUUGAUAAACUACCAUGUCAAAUAUAAAAUGAUACAUUUAGAUAUAUGGUGCCAUAUAUCUUUUUCGGUUCCAUAAUGUUAUGAAUUACUAAGCCAAUGUAUAAUUAUUACCCCAUGAUUAAAUACAAAAAAUGCGUUUAAUAGUAUA